rnacentral:rRNA from 1 species
CCUACGGGGGGCUGCAGUGGGGAAUAUUGGACAAUGGGGGCAACCCUGAUCCAGCCAUGCCGCGUUUGUGAAGAAGGCCCUCGGGUUGUAAAGCACUUUCAGUGAGGAAGAACGCCUGGUGGUUAAUACCCAUCAGGAAAGACAUCACUCACAGAAGAAGCACCGGCUAACUCCGUGCCAGCAGCCGCGGUAAUACGGAGGGUGCGAGCGUUAAUCGGAAUUACUGGGCGUAAAGCGCGCGUAGGUGGCUUGAUAAGCCGGUUGUGAAAGCCCCGGGCUCAACCUGGGAACGGCAUCCGGAACUGUCAAGCUAGAGUGCAGGAGAGGAAGGUAGAAUUCCCGGUGUAGCGGUGAAAUGCGUAGAGAUCGGGAGGAAUACCAGUGGCGAAGGCGGCCUUCUGGACUGACACUGACACUGAGGUGCGAAAGCGUGGGUAGCAAACAGGAUUAGAUACCCCAGUAGUC